rfam:Globodera pallida, Lindley, WGS project CBXT01000000 data, contig: pathogens_Gpal_scaffold_2177_contig_1
CGUUCUGGGUGACAUCGUACCUUUUGUAUUAUGGGCCAGCGACUUAAUUUAACGAGCAAGCUUAAGCCGAUAGGCGUAUGCGCAGCGAAAGCGAGUCUGAAUAGGGCGUCAAGUUCGUUGUAUUAGACCCGAAACCUAGUGAUCUAGCCAUGAGCAGGUUGAAGGUGAGGUAACACUCACUGGAGGACCGAACGGGUGUCUGUUGAAAAAGACUCCGAUGACUUGUGGUUAGGGGUGAAAGGCCAAUCAAACUGGGAAAUAGCUGGUUCUCCGCGAAAGAUAUUUAGGUAUCGCCUCGCAUGAAUGCUUCGGGGGGGUAGAGCACUGGAUGGGCUAGGGGGACUUACCGUCUUACCAAACCCAACCAAACUCCGAAUACCCGAAAGCAAUAUGCGGGAGUCACACGGCGGGUGCUAACGUCCGUCGUGGAGAGGGAAACAACCCGGACCUACAGCUAAGGCCCCUAAUUCGUGGCUAAGUGGGAAAGGAUGUGGAAAUCCCAAAACAACCAGGAGGUUGGCUUAGAAGCAGCCAUCCUUUAAAGAAAGCGUAACAGCUCACUGGUCUAAAUAAGGGUUUCUGCGCCGAAGAUGUAACGGGGCUCAAGCCACGAGCCGAAGCUUAGGGUGUGAUCCGCAAGGGUCACGCGGUAGCGGAGCGUUCUGUAAGCCUGCGAAGGGCGACUCGUGAGAGCGCCUGGAGGUAUCAGAAGUGCGAAUGCUGGCAUGAGUAACGACAAACACUGUGAAAGACAGUGUCGCCGAAAGUCCAAGGGUUCCUGCGUAAAGUUAAUCUUCGCAGGGUUAGCCGGUCCCUAAGGCGAGGCCGAAAGGCGUAGUCGAUGGGAAUGCAGUGAAUAUUCUGCAGCCAGUGGAUGGUGACGAAUCUCGUAUGUUGUCUGACCUUAUUGGAUUGGUCGGGCCUCGAAGAGGUUCCAGGAAAUAGCCUCCACAUUAGACCGUACCCGAAACCGACACAGGUGGACUGGUAGAGUAUACCAAGGCGCUUGAGAGAACUAUGUUGAAGGAACUCGGCAAUUUACCUCCGUAACUUCGGGAUAAGGAGGCCCACUGCAUGCGCAAGCGUGCCGUGGGGGCACAGACCAGGGGGUGGCAACUGUUUAACAAAAACACAGGGCUCUGCGAAAUCGCAAGAUGACGUAUAGGGUCUGACGCCUGCCCGGUGCCGGAAGGUUAAGAGGAGAGGUGCAAGCCUUGAAUCGAAGCCCAGUAAACGGCGGCCGUAACUAUAACGGUCCUAAGGUAGCGAAAUUCCUUGUCGGGUAAGUUCCGACCUGCACGAAUGGCGUAACGACUUCCCCGCUGUCUCCAACAUAGACUCAGUGAAAUUGAAUUCCCCGUGAAGAUGCGGGGUUCCUGCGGUCAGACGGAAAGACCCCGUGCACCUUUACUAUAGCUUUACACUGGCAUUCGCCAAGGCAUGUGUAGGAGUAGGUGGUAGGUUUGAAGCAGGGACGCCAGUUCUUGUGGAGCCAUCCUUGAAAUACCACCCUUAUCUUCGUGGAUGUCUAACCGCGGUCCGUUAUCCGGAUCCGGGACAGUGUAUGGUGGGUAGUUUGACUGGGGCGGUCGCCUCCGAAAGAGUAACGGAGGCGCGCGAUGGUGGGCUCAGACCGGUCGGAAAUCGGUCGUCGAGUGCAAUGGCAUAAGCCCGCCUGACUGCGAGACUGACAAGUCGAGCAGAGACGAAAGUCGGUCAUAGUGAUCCGGUGGUCCCGUGUGGAAGGGCCAUCGCUCAACGGAUAAA